rnacentral:lncRNA from 1 species
CUUUUUCUCUCUUCUCCUUUUUUCUUUCUUUUCUGAGUUUCUCACUCACCCCUUUUUUCCCUAUCUUCUUCUCUCUCUUCCACCACCCCCCCCCUAAAUUUUCCUUUCUCUUCCACCAUUUUUGGGUUGCUGCUUUGUUUUUGCAAAGCUGGUUCCUUUUCUUUUUUCUCUUUAUUCAGGCUUCGGUUUUAUUUUUCAGGUGCUCUUUAUAGGUUUCUGCAAUGUAUUUUCUCUCAUCAUUGUUGAAGGCUACGUCACAUCGGUUGGUUUAACCACUAUCAUCGGCUCCUUGACUCCACAGAUGUUUCUUCCGUUGUCCGUCCUCAGUGGAACUUAUAGAGUUUGGGAUGCCCUUAAAGUGCAAAUAGCACUUAUUGCUUGGAUUAUGAUAGCACUACUUCUAUUAGGUGUAGCUUGGGUGGCUUGCUCACCACCAUUUUCUGUUGGUUACUGAUUUCUCUUUGGUGGUUAUCGGCUUGCUAUAGUGGUGCAACUUGUGGCUGUUGGAUUGUGUGGCACAUAUUUGUUAUUGGUGUUAGGGUUUCCUAAUGUCGUGUGGUGUUUGUAGGCUUUUGCUGUUAUGUGGGGGUAAUGCCUUUAUGCCUGCUUUAUGCAUUUUGUUUGCUUUAUUUGUAGUGGGCUCUAUGUCUGUUUGUAUUGUAUUUUGUGUGAACUCAAUUAUUUGUGUUCAUUUUGAUGUAAUCUAGCUUUAACUUUCUAUUUAAUGAAACUCGAUUUUGACCCAAA